CUCGUAGGCGGUCUGUUACGUCGGCUGUGAAAACCUGGGGCUCAACCCCGGGCCUGCAGCCGAUACGGGCAGACUAGAAUUCGGUAGGGGAGACUGGAAUUCCUGGUGUAGCGGUGGAAUGCGCAGAUAUCAGGAGGAACACCGGUGGCGAAGGCGGGUCUCUGGGCCGACAUUGACGCUGAGGAGCGAAAGCGUGGGGAGCGAACA
rnacentral:rRNA from 1 species